GCAGCCCACGGGACGGAGGGAAAAAUGGCGGCGGAUUCCUUGGUUUUCACUGUUUCGUUCCCAAAUCAGAUUCGACCGGGCAGGGCAGGCAUAUCCAGUUCUCUCCCGGAUUGUAUUGGGGUGGAAAGGAUCUACAUCAGAACGCGGCCGGAGUAGCCGCCGGAGCUGCCGCAGUCUUGGUCUCUUUGAUUUGCAGCUCCGGCCGCCCGUGUGGUUGUAGUCGACCUGCUCUAAAGCUGAGGUGCUCGUCUCUGUCCAUCCACAAUGGAAGCUCAAGCUCCAGAUUGGUCCGGGUUACCAGCUGACAUAUUGAUCAGCAUAUUCCAGUUGCUCGAGUGCCCGGACCUCCUCCGAUCCGCCGCCGUCUGCACAUUCUGGCAAAAGGCGUACUCCACGCUCCACCGCAGCGGCGUCUGCCCCAGCCGGCAGACCCCCUGCUUACUCUAUUGUACCGAGGCCGCCGGUGCGAAGGCUCUUGGCAUGUACAGUCUCUCCGAACGGAAGGCCUACUCCAUGCCCCUCCCUGAACCUCCCAUCAGCAGCUGGAUUGGUUCAUCACAUGGCUGGCUAGUCACCAUGGAUGAGAAGUCUGACCUGAUGCUUCUCAACCCUAUCACCGGUGACAAGAUUGCACUCCCUCCUGUGACAACCAUGGAGCAUGUUAAACCUAUCGUAAACGAAGACGGGAUUCUUGAAAAGUACAAGCUGUCUUUCUAUGACGGAGAGCUUCUGAGAGUGGAGGAUACACCCUAUGCAUGCCCUUUGGAUAGGUACGGAGAUCUGGUCUAUCUGAAGGCAACUUUGUCGUCCGAUCCAUCGGCAGUGGAAUGCACUGUCAUGCUCAUCCAUCAGCCGUACGCGCAGCUCUCAUUCGCCAGAGUGGGAGAUGCUCACUGGAACUGGCUCCAAAUGCAUAGUUUCUAUGCAGAUUGCAUACACCAUGAUGGCUGUUUCUACGCAAUGACUGAGGUAGGCGCAAUCGAUGAGUUUGAUUUGGACCAUCUGUCGUCCACAGAAGGAUUUUACCAAAUCUAGCUGGGAUGGUCCAGAAGUGCUACAUUGUUCAGGCAUCAUGGGGAGAUUUCCUCCAAAUCAUUAAGGAGGAGAGUUUGGAUCCUGAACAACCAGAUGGUGAGACGUAUGUCACUGCUUAUGAAGUGUACAAGGUUGAUUUUGUUGAGCUGAAGCGUGUCAAAAUGAGAGGGAUAGGUGAACAUGCAUUGUUCACUGGGAAAAGCACAACAUCUUGCUUUAGCGUAAAGAAUCACCCAGGCUUGAUGGCAAACCAUCUAUAUUUUACUCAUGAUGAUCAUGAAGAAUUACUCAGCGGCAAAGAUGAUCCACGUGACAUAGGAGUGUACGACUUGGAAAAUGAUACCAGAACCAAUUUGGUUGAUCCUGAACCCUGGAGGACGUGGUUCCCUCCCAUAUGGUUCACACCCAAUCUUGCAAAAGCAGGUGCCAUGUGCGCCUGCACCCAGGGGGUGUCAACUUCUGCAAGUUCAAGCGUGGUAACAGCAAGCAGAUGAGGCCAGAGAAGAAGAUCAACAACUAGAGUGCCACCAGUCAGUUUAAUGGACCUGUUAAAAUCCAUCGUCGUGUCAGAGUUUAUGCUUCGUUAUCGUCUCUGGUUGUCGUUAAACCUUAUUUAGCUUGCUUUCAGCCUCAUAUUGCUUUGGUGAUCUUUGAAAGAAAAUUUGUAUCAUGAGUAUGAUAAAGGUAGGUGAUGUUGCUCCAUAAAUUAUGGUCA